rnacentral:rRNA from 1 species
UACGUAGGGACCGAGCGUUGUCCGGAUUUAUUGGGCGUAAAGAGCUCGUAGGCGGCUGUCCACGUCGGGUGUGAAAGCUCGGGGCUCAACCCUGAGAGGCCAUUCGAUACGGGACGGCUUGAGGCAGCUAGGGGAGAUUGGAAUUCCUGGUGUAGCGGUGAAAUGCGCAGAUAUCAGGAGGAACACCGGUGGCGAAGGCGGAUCUCUGGGGCUGUUCUGACGCUGAGGAGCGAAAGCUGGGGGAGCGAACAGG